CAACCAUCUCUGCAUGUGUUUGGUUGCCUGUACAUGCUUGCUUUUGUGGUUGAAACUCAAGUGCUUCCUCCCACACAAUGGAACAGAAAAUACUUUCAUUUCCUGAAAAGAGAGAGACACAAUGUCCAUGAGCUAGGCCCUGUGGAGGCCACUUACUGCAUUAAUCAGAGGGAAGACAACCACAGCGAAAUUUCUGUGAAGAACACCGACUUCAGCCAGCACACCCCGGCGUUAUCAUGAGAAAGGUGAAGCUUGGCAAACCAACCACAAUCAGCAUCUGCAUCAUGACCCUGAUAAUCAAGGCA
rnacentral:lncRNA from 1 species